rnacentral:rRNA from 1 species
UACGUAGGGCGCGAGCGUUGUCCGGAAUUAUUGGGCGUAAAGAGCUCGUAGGUGGUUGGUCGCGUCUGCCGUGAAAAACCCAUGGCUUAACUGUGGGCUUGCGGUGGAUACGGGCCGACUUGAGGUAGGUAGGGGAGAAUGGAAUUCCCGGUGUAGCGGUGAAAUGCGCAGAUAUCGGGAGGAACACCGGUGGCGAAGGCGGUUCUCUGGGCCUUACCUGACGCUGAGGAGCGAAAGCGUGGGGAGCGA